rnacentral:rRNA from 1 species
CCUACGGGAGGCAGCAGUGAGGAAUAUUGGUCAAUGGGCGGAAGCCUGAACCAGCCAAGUCGCGUGAGGGAUUAAGGCCCUGCGGGUCGUAAACCUCUUUUGCCGGGGAGCAGUGGUCCGGACGCGUCCGGACCGGGAGAGUACCCGGAGAAAAAGCAUCGGCUAACUCCGUGCCAGCAGCCGCGGUAAUACGGAGGAUGCGAGCGUUAUCCGGAUUUAUUGGGUUUAAAGGGUGCGUAGGCGGGCAUUUAAGCCGGCGGUCAAAUGUCGGGGCUCAACCCCGGCCUGCCGUCGGAACUGGGUGCCUUGAGUACCGGAGAGGUCAUCGGAAUUCCUUAUGUAGCGGUGAAAUGCGUAGAUAUAAGGAAGAACACCAGUGGCGAAGGCGGAUGACUGGACGGCAACUGACGGUGAGGCGCGAAAGCGUGGGGAGCAAACAGGAUUAGAUACCCCGGUAGUC